GACGAACGCUGGCGGCGCGCCUAACACAUGCAAGUCGAACGAGCGAGAGAGAGCUUGCUUUCUCGAGCGAGUGGCGAACGGGUGAGUAACGCGUGAGGAGCCUGCCUCAAAGAGGGGGACAACAGUUGGAAACGACUGCUAAUACCGCAUAAGCCCACAGCUCGGCAUCGAGCAGAGGGAAAAGGAGCAAUCCGCUUUGAGAUGGCCUCGCGUCCGAUUAGCUAGUUGGUGAGGUAACGGCCCACCAAGGCGACGAUCGGUAGCCGGACUGAGAGGUUGAACGGCCACAUUGGGACUGAGACACGGCCCAGACUCCUACGGGAGGCAGCAGUGGGGAAUAUUGCACAAUGGGGGAAACCCUGAUGCAGCGACGCCGCGUGGAGGAAGAAGGUCUUCGGAUUGUAAACUCCUGUUGUUGGGGAAGAUAAUGACGGUACCCAACAAGGAAGUGACGGCUAACUACGUGCCAGCAGCCGCGGUAAAGUCAC
rnacentral:rRNA from 1 species